rnacentral:rRNA from 1 species
GAUCAUGGCUCAGGACGAACGCUGGCGGCGUGCUUAACACAUGCAAGUCGAACGAGAAUCUGUGGAUCGAGGAUUCGUCCAAGUGAAGCAGAGGACAGUGGCGGACGGGUGAGUAACGCGUGAGGAACCUGCCUUUCAGAGGGGGGACAACAGUUGGAAACGACUGCUAAUACCGCAUGAUACGUUUUAGGGGCAUCCCUGAGACGUCAAAGAUUUAUCGCUAAAAGAUGGCCUCGCG